rnacentral:lncRNA from 10 species
GAUGAACAACCUUGAGAGCAGAUCCUCCAGUUCUCGUCAAGCUUCAGAUGACUGCAGCCCUGGCUAACAUCAACCACAUGAGAGAUCCCAAAGCAGAACCAAGUUUUUGACCCACAGGAAGAGUGAGAGGUGAGAAAACUGAGAUUCAGAGAAGUUAAGGAAGUAGACCAAAAACAUCAUUGGAGCUGAGAGACCCAAGUCAAGGUAAAGAGAAGAAGGAACCUCUGUGAAUGAAGCCUAAAGAACCAAUAUGGCAGCUCAAUAUGCCACAAGCUACAGGGAAAGCCUUGAGG